rnacentral:rRNA from 1 species
AUUGAACGCUAGCGGGAUGCUUUACACAUGCAAGUCGAACGGCAGCGCGGACUUCGGUCUGGCGGCGAGUGGCGAACGGGUGAGUAAUGUAUCGGAACGUGCCCAGUAGCGGGGGAUAACUACGCGAAAGCGUAGCUAAUACCGCAUACGCCCUACGGGGGAAAGCAGGGGAACGUAAGACCUUGCACUAUUGGAGCGGCCGAUAUCGGAUUAGCUAGUUGGUGAGGUAACGGCUCACCAAGGCGACGAUCCGUAGCUGGUUUGAGAGGACGACCAGCCACACUGGGACUGAGACACGGCCCAGACUCCUACGGGAGGCAGCAGUGGGGAAUUUUGGACAAUGGGGGCAACCCUGAUCCAGCCAUCCCGCGUGUGCGAUGAAGGCCUUCGGGUUGUAAAGCACUUUUGGCAGGAAAGAAACGUCGCGGGCUAAUACCCCGUGGAACUGACGGUACCUGCAGAAUAAGCACCGGCUAACUACGUG